rnacentral:misc_RNA from 1 species
CAACCCUCGAACCCCUCCGGGGGAUCGGCGUUGGGGAUCGGCCCUCUACCGGCCGGCCCCGAAAUGCAGUGGCGGUCUCGCCGCAGCCUCCCCUGCGCAGUAGUUUGCACGCUCGCAUCGGGAGCGCGGCGCGUCCAAUGCCGUAAAACACCCAACUUUCUGAAAUG